rnacentral:rRNA from 1 species
GAUGAACGCUGGCGGCGUGCCUAAUACAUGCAAGUCGAGCGAAGCGGGGACGGGUGAGUAAUACAUGGCUAACCUCCUCUAAGACUGGGAUAACUUCGGGAAACCGGAGCUAAACCGGAUACGUAUAGAUUGAUCCGCGCCGCAUGAUCUGGUUGGUAAGGUAACGGCUUACCAAGGCAAAGAUGCGUAGCCGACCUGAGCGGAUGAUGGGCCACUGUGGAAAGAAGACACGGUCCAAAAGCCUACGGGAGACAGCAGUAGGAAAUCUUCCGCAAUGAGCGAAAGCGUGACGGGGCCACGCCGCGUGAGUGAUAAAGGUCUUCGGAUCGUAAAACUCUGUUAUUAGGGAAGCGGUACCUAAUCAAAAAGCAACGGCUAACUACGUGCCAGCAGCCGCGGUAAUUC